CCAGCCAGCUAGUCGGCUCACUGUGUAGCCAGCUGCACCUUCACAUAAGGAUCUGCAAACAGAGCAUGGAGGAAAGUCACUCUGAGCUCCUCAUGAAGAGAAGAUGAGGUGUUCAUCUGAGCAUGUAGCCAGUGUUGUUCGACAAGCUAGAAAAACUCCUAAUCUUAAUGAGUAAUGUGGGAGGAAGCUGAGUCCUUAAGGAUUAUUCAGAUCUGUUUUAAAACAGUGAACUGCGUGUAACUCCAUCCCAGAUGUCACCACUACGGAAAAAGGAAACACGAGAAAGCAAACCUCAAAUUUGGCGGGCGCGUCCAGCUCCUGCCACUCUUCGAUGAUGUGGUUCCAGUCGACCUUGCAGAGCUCCACCCGGAUCUCGCCGAUGAUUUCAUGUUUGGAGAACCGGUUAAAGUCGAACACCUUCAUCACAGCUGUCGACUUCAUGAGGAUAGACUUGGAUAGCUGGGGACAUGUCACAGAUUCAACAUUAUCCAAACCAGGUUAAACAUUGUUCCAAAGUCCAUUCAUCCACUCUC